rnacentral:rRNA from 1 species
GUCGUGAGACAGUUCGGUCCCUAUCCGGCGUGGGCGCAGGAUAUUUGAGAGGAGCUGUCCUUAGUACGAGAGGACCGGGAUGGACUGACCGCUGGUGGACCGGUUGCACUGCCAGGUGCACGGCCGGGUAGCCAAGUCGGGCCGGGAUAAACGCUGAAGGCAUCUAAGCGUGAAGCCCCCCUCAAGAUGAGAUAUCCCAUGUGAAAGCAGUAAGACCCCUUGAAGACGACGAGGUAGAUAGGGCAGAGGUGGAAGCACAGUAAUGUGUGGAGCUGACUGUUACUAAUCGGUCGAGGGCUUGACCAG